rnacentral:misc_RNA from 1 species
AACGCACCUUGCACCCUUUGGUAUUCCGAAGGGUACACCCGUUUGAGUGUCAUUGUAAUCUCACUAUGUUCGACUUUUUGUUGUUCGUAUGUGGACCUGGAUGUUGCUGUUGGUUUUCAACAGCUCGUCUGAAAUACCUGAGUGUACCCCGCUUUGCGGCGUAUUCGGUGUGAUAUAUUGUCACCGGAGUUGAUCCUUUUGGGUCGCGUCUGUAGGAGUGUGGCUCUAUGCUUUCCAACCGUCCCUUCACUGGGACAAUCUUCUUGACAAUUUGACCUCAAAUCGGGUGGGACUACCCGCUGAACUUAA